CGGUAAAGUCUCCGGAGCAGUUAAGAACAACGGAAUGAAUAACUUGGAAAAUGCUCUGGUAGAUGUUUUAUUCUUCAAGAUCGCUGAUUCGCUUGUUUAGCUGUCAAUCAAAAAAGGAUUUCGCCUCAGACAGCUCAUCCAAUCAUGGAUGCAGAAGCUCGGAGUCUGGGAGAAAGUCGGGACCGCCCUCUCGCCAUAGAACUCCAGUGAAGCUGGGCUUCCGAUGGGCGGGACAAAGCCCAGCAUUUAUCCAAUGAGCGUCUAGUUUCGCUGCUGGAACAACCCACUUUGAGCUUCCACAUUGAAGUCAGCAGAAGCCCAGCGUCCGGCUGUGUGAAGCGCUGAGGCGCUGCGAGGAUGAAUGAGAACGAAGUU